rnacentral:rRNA from 1 species
CACGUAGGGUGCGAGCGUUGUCCGGAAUUAUUGGGCGUAAAGAGCUCGUAGGCGGUGUGUCGCGUCGGCCGUGAAAACCUGCAGCUUAACUGUGGGCUUGCGGUCGAUACGGGCAUCACUGGAGUUCGGCAGGGGAGACUGGAAUUCCUGGUGUAGCGGUGAAAUGCGCAGAUAUCAGGAGGAACACCGGUGGGCGAAGG